ACUGGAGGACCGAACCGACUAAUGUUGAAAAAUUAGCGGAUGACUUGUGGCUGGGGGUGAAAGGCCAAUCAAACCGGGAGAUAGCUGGUUCUCCCCGAAAGCUAUUUAGGUAGCGCCUCGUGAAUUCAUCUUCGGGGGUAGAGCACUGUUUCGGCUAGGGGGUCAUCCCGACUUACCAACCCGAUGCAAACUACGAAUACCGAAGAAUGUUAUCACGGGAGACACACGGCGGGUGCUAACGUCCGUCGU
rnacentral:rRNA from 2 species